rnacentral:lncRNA from 1 species
UUUCAUCCAUGUCAACCAUGAAAGACAGGGUUGAUCUCAGCCUGAGCUAGAGAUGGAUCCCCAUCCAUGUACCUUUGCUCAACUGUCCUCAGACCAGAUCCAGAAUUCACCCUGCUGUUUCUCCAUGAGUCUGACCUGCAUCAACUGCCUCCCUUAUUCUGGGAUUCCAGUUGUGGAGCUCAAGGACAAGUCCAUUCUGGGCUGGCUGUAUCCAACUUCUUUAGUCCAACUAUAUCCCCACUGGAAGCCAGGCUCUUUCCAACAGCUGUCACCCAUGCCUCUUUCUAUGUUUGUUAUCUGUCUCUAGGUUCUGGUAACUACUUCCUUCCCUUGCCCCUUCUGGCCUAGGGUGCUACAAAUCCCUCCUCCAAAUCCAACUGUCACUAGCCUCAAAGUACUUGUAGCUUCCUCACCUUACUUUCACCUUAAUAAAUAGUCCCCCUACUAUCUCUCUUCAAAGCACCCAAUUUGAGUGUGCCAUCUGUUUCUUGCCAGGAUCCUGGUUGGUACAUCAACCAAGCUGCACAGAUGGAGGAGCACUGUGCUGAACUUUAGGAAUGAAGCCACAGGGCCCUCACUGCCCCCAUAGUCACGUUGGUCAUCUUCUGCCUCCCUGAAAGACUAAAUUCACUCAGUUCAGAUACAUACACAUCCAGACAUGUCAGGGAAAACUCCAUUUUGUAAGGAUCUCUGCUUAAAAUGCCAAAGGUUUGAAAGUUGGCAAACACUUGAGAAAAGCACAGUUCUCUGUCUUACUCUUACUCUAAACUUGGAGAUAUAUGCAUUUUUAAAAUUGUUCAUGUUAGAAUGCUAACGUGUACA